GGCAUCGAUGAAGAACGCAGCGAAAUGCGAUAAGUAAUGUGAAUUGCAGAAUUCAGUGAAUCAUCGAGUCUUUGAACGCACAUUGCGCCCCCUGGUAUUCCGGGGGGCAUGCCUGUCCGAGCGUCAUUGCUGCCCUCAAGCACGGCUUGUGUGUUGGGCCCCGUCCCCUCCCCCGGGGACGGGCCCGAAAGGCAGCGGCGGCACCGCGUCCGAUCCUCGAGCGUAUGGGGCUUUGUCACCCGCUCUGUAGGCCCGGCCGGCGCCAGCCGACACCCAACUUUUAUUUCUAAGGUUGACCUCGGAUCAGGUAGGGAUACCCGCUGAACUUAAGCAUAUCAAUAAGCGGAGGA
rnacentral:misc_RNA from 1 species